CCUACGGGUGGCAGCAGUGAGGAAUAUUGCUCAAUGGCCGAAAGGCUGAACCAGCCAAGUCGCGUGAAGGAAGAAGGAUCUAUGGUUUGUAAACUUCUUUUAUAGGGGAAUAAAGGUAUCCACGUGUGGAUCUUUGCAUGUACCCUAUGAAUAAGCAUCGGCUAACUUCGUGCCAGCAGCCGCGGUAAUACGGAGGAUGCGAGCGUUAUCCGGAUUUAUUGGGUUUAAAGGGAGCGUCGGUUGUUUGUUAAGUCAGCGGUGAAAGUGUGUGGCUCAACCAUAAAAUUGCCGUUGAAACUGGAAGACUGGAGUGUGUUUGAGGUAGGCGGAAUUCGUGGUGUAGCGGUGAAAUGCGUAGAUAUCACGAAGAACUCCAAUUGCGAAGGCAGCUUACUAAGACAUAACUGACACUGAGGCGCGAAAGCGUGGGGAUCAAACAGGAUUAGAUACCCUUGUAGUC
rnacentral:rRNA from 1 species